GGAAGAAAGUCUCAAGGCUAAUACCCUUGGGCGUUGACGUUACCCACAGAAGAAGCACUGGCUAACUCUGUGCCAGCAGCCGCGGUAAUACAGAGAGUGCAAGCGUUAAUCGGAAUCACUGGGCGUAAAGUGCGCGUAGUCCGGAUUGGAGUCUGCAACUCGACUCCAUGAAGCUGGAAUCGCUAGUAAUCGCGAAUCAGAAUGUCGCGGUGAAUACGUUCUCGGGCCUUGUACACACCGCCCGUCACACCAUGGGAGUGAAUUGUACCAGAAGCGGGUAGGCUAACCUUCGGGAGGCCGCUCACCACGGGUGAUUCAUGACUGGGGUGAAGUCGUAACAAGGUAGCCGUAGGGGAACCUGCGGCUGGAUCACCUCCU
rnacentral:lncRNA from 1 species